rnacentral:rRNA from 1 species
AUUGAACGCUGGCGGCAUGCUUUACACAUGCAAGUCGAACGGUAACAGGUUAAGCUGACGAGUGGCGAACGGGUGAGUAAUGCAUCGGAACGUGCCCGAUCGUGGGGGAUAACGCAGCAAAAGCUGCGCUAAUACCGCAUACGAUCUGAGGAUGAAAGCGGGGGACCAUAAGGCCUCGCGCGAUCGGAGCGGCCGAUGUCAGAUUAGGUAGUUGGUGGGGUAAAGGCCCACCAAGCCGACGAGCUGUAGCUGGUCUGAGAGGACGACCAGCCACACUGGGACUGAGACACGGCCCAGACUCCUACGGGAGACAGCAGUGGGGAAUUUUGGACAAUGGGCGAAAGCCUGAUCCAGCAAUGCCGCGUGCAGGAAGAAGGCCUUCGGGUUGUAAACUGCUUUUGUACGGAGCGAUAAGGCCCUUUCUAAUACAAGGGGCUCAUGACGGUACCGUAAGAAUAAGCACCGGCUAACUACGUGCCAGCCGCCGCCGUAAAAC